CUACUCCUGCCUUCACGUUGCACAUCUUUUCUAGCUCUUCUGUCAGUCCUUGAUAUUUGUCCAUCUUCUCAUGUACCUUCUUCCUGAUGUUAUAUUCACUGGGUAUUGCAACAUCCACAACCACUGCAGUCUUGUGUUCCUGGUCUAUUACCACAAUGUCAGGUUGAUUGACCAUUACAUGCUUGCCUGUCUGAAGUCCCACAGGAUCUUAGCGCGGUCAUUCUCAACUUCAAUUCUCCCAUAUGGACUUAGGCAGGUCUAGCCCAUAUUUUUAGCAGAUGUUUUGGUAAACAAUCCCAGCAAUUUAGUGAUGUCUCUCAGUACAUGCUGUUCCUGCUAACCUCUUGCAACUGGUCACAAUAUGCUGGAUUAUCUCAGAGGCCUCUUUGCACAGUCUGCACCUUGGGUCUUGCCUUGUGUAAUAGAUCCCCGCUUCUAUUUAUCUGGUGCUGAGAGUUUGUUCCUGUGCUGCUAGGAUUAGUGCCUCAGCGUGGUCUUCA